GGCAGCAUCCCAGUGAGAGCCAAUUUGCCUUUUCCUCAGCCUACCCGGGCACAUGGAGAUGGGCUGUCAGAAAAGCACCUUACCUGGGUUUAAUUGUGACAGCAGGAGAGCAAUGGCAGAGCUGGCACGUCUUGUCUUCUCAUCAGACCUGGGAAAUUUUGGUCGUAGAAUCAUAGACUUGUUUGAUUUGGAAGAAACCUUUAAAGGCCAUCUGGUCCUACUGCCCUGCAAUGAACAGCCACAGCUGGAUCAGGUUGCUCCUGAACAGGGACAGUGUUAGCCUCAUUCCUGCUUUUGGGGUGGACACACUGCCAAAAGCAUUUCAGAGAGCAAGAGACUCAUCAUUAAUACUACAUGACUCGGAGAAAUCCAUGGCACAAAGCUGGAAAGUGGUAUUGCUGACAAGGGGUUCACCUUCUCUGCCAGUGCCAAUUGUGGUACCCACGGGCGCUCAUGUCAGAGCUGUGCUGACAUUUGGGUGUACUGAGUACAUGUGAUACAAAUGUUCAACACACAUGAUGUUAUAUAUUCAGAACACGUGCAAUGGACUAUCUGUAUGCACAUGUAGGAAUAUGAGAACUAGAGAGCCAAACCUUCACUGGUUAAUCCACAUAAACUAGUAACAAAGAACACUUCAUCACACCUCUCAUCUUGGAUGAGAUAUCCUACAAUCACAUACAGGAUCUGCUGGCCUCUCUGAAUCACC
ensembl:lncRNA